AUAGAUUUUCUUUUGGAAAGACUACAACAUGGUCAAAUUUAUACAUGAGUUGAUUCAUUAUCCUUGAUAUUAAAUCCUAACAAUGAAGCAUUAACAUCUCAUUUGUAUCAUUCUUUUAAAUUUGAUAAAUAAAUUGCCAUUACUUAUGAAACAAGUCCUUACAUAUUUGCUGUUAAGGCACAUUAUAAUUUUACUAAAAAAUUUGGACAAAAUUCUCAGGUAAAAUGGAGAAACUGGAACAGGAAAAUGGUUUAAUAUUUAGAAUUUUUUAGUAACAAUAAUAAAGCUUCAACUUUCUUAAGGAUUAUAUGAAUAAUGUAAUACUAAGAAUUACAGGUGUAUGUCAUUUGAUAUCUAUCGUUACAAUGAACUGAAAAAAA